rnacentral:rRNA from 1 species
GACGAACGCUGGCGGCGUGCCUAAUACAUGCAAGUUGAGCGAUGAAGCUUGGUGCUUGCCCCAAUUUGAAGAGCAGCGAACGGGUGGGUAACGCGUGGGGAAUCUGCCUUUGAGCGGGGGACAACAUUUGGAAACGAAUGCUAAUACCGCAUAAUAACUUUAAACAUAAGUUUUAAGUUUGAAAGAUGCAAUUGCAUCACUCAAAGAUGAUCCCGCGUUGUAUUAGCUAGUUGGUGAGGUAAAGGCUCACCAAGGCGAUGAUACAUAGCCGACCUGAGAGGGGGAACCGCCAAAAUGGGACUGGGGCAAGGCCCAAGAUCCUUAGGGGAGGAGCAAGAGGGAAACUUCGGACAAGGGCGAAAGGCUGAACGAGGAAAGGCGGGGGGGGGAAGAAGGGUAUCGGAUCGGAAAAAUCUGUUGGUAGGGAAGAAAGUUGGUGAGAGGGGAAAGCGCAUGAAGUGACGGUAACUACACAGAAAGGGACGGCUAACUACGUG